GCACUUCACAGCAAAACCAACAGAAAUCAGAAUGGUCCACACUUCCUUCUGGGAAGAGGAACAAUGUCCAUAAAAGAUUAAAAAAAUAAUAAAGAAGCAUGACUAUUUCUUCCAGCGUGGGUGACCCACAAGCUCACAUGGUCCUAAGUGCUUAGUAACUUGUAUUUUCUAAUCAAAUGAAGAACUGCUUUGAGUGCGCAAAGCAAUCCAUGGUGAAAAGAUUUCCCUGAACUCCUCAGUGGAAAGAAGAGGUGUCGAGAUUUUCAGAACUUGAAGGUAUGAAUUCAUUGCUGAAGAUAACACACACCUCUGGGACGCAGGACUUGAGGGAAGUCACCUGGAACUGACUGAAGGUCCCUCUGCAUGGAAGAGCUUCCAGAGUGAGGGAGAGCUCGUUUCCUCAUGGAUGCCCAAGCCUGCAUGCUCUCACUAAAUUACUGUUGGGCCACUGCUGAAGCUGCUGUAGACAUUCAAGUGAUCUGGAUGACAUCUUCUUUAGGGAAAAGGGAAAGCUAGUAUCUGCAGAGACAUUUGGACCUAUGGUGGGACUUCCUUGGAAAACGUGCAAGAUGUACAAAGGCUUUCCUAAGGAAACCUCUUUGGAUACAGCAUUAGUAAGCACCUGUAAUAGCACUGCAGCUAAAGCGAAAUGGGCAGAGACAGGACGAUCCGAGAUGCUCACAGGACUAGACAGCCCAGCAUAUGCAUCAGUGAACAGGAGGGUCUGUCUCCAACAAGGUUUGAAAGAAGAAUGAAGAUAGACUGUUGGAAGAAUGAACACUGUAACAUUUUGCAUUUUUUCAGAACGUGUACAAGAGGGUUUGAGUGUGGGAGUAUUGGCAGCAUUGAUGAAGGCUUUCUGAAAAUCAUUACCCAGAAUAAGAUGUUCCCAUUUGUACAUAAGACAGGCAUUCAACAGUACAGUAAUACUCUAAUAUGUGUGGUUCAUGAACAUAAAACUGAG
rnacentral:lncRNA from 1 species